rnacentral:lncRNA from 1 species
AUUUACUAUUUAUAUUAGAGGAUUAUAAGGUAUAUUCAUAUAAUUUAGCAUUAGCCUAGUAAAAAUGGUUCAAUUGGUCUCAUCAACCCUUGAUAGUAAAUAUUCUUAUAUAUUAUUUUCUUUUUUUCCAAAUUUAAUUUCUACGGCUCCUUUAUUCUGAAAGAUCAAAUCAGUUAGACACCUAGACUAUCAAUUUGCGGACAAAUUAACAUCAAAAGUUACGUCAUUUACAAUGUCUCUGUCACCAGGGCACGGCACGUGAAUCAUUAUUCAUUAGACGACAAAUACAUACAGGCAUCUUCAUCAAUCAACUACAAGGUUUUUGUUUAUUUGUCAAAUGAAAGAACUCGAAGGACCGCAAAGAACAAAACAAUAUGACAAUGGCCAUGCUGUCGUUGUGUUUGGUCGGUGGAUCCAAGUGGGGACGGCGGUGCGUUCUAAUUAGGGAUGGUAAUUGUACCCGUAAAUUCAUAAAUUCGUCCAAAUUUAUCCGCCAAAAUCUGUUCGUUGCGGGUAAUUUUAUCCGUUGUGGGUGGGUUUAGUAUUAUAAAUUAAAAUCCGCAUAUGGAUGCGGGUGGAUUUAGUAUUAACCUUAUAUCCGGUGGAUAC